GUAUCUAUGCUGCAGCUUCUGCUCUGUUUGCACAACACCUGGACAAGCCUCAACCUUCUUACCCAUAGUUCCCUUGUUUGUAGGUUAUAAAGCUUGUCUGUCAGCGGCAGUGGGGCCUUAGCUGGAGGGAUAACUCCAUAAUUCCGUGCGGCUACCUGCAAUAAACUGAAGAGUUCUCAUCAGAGAUCUCUGAUGAGGAAGACAGGAUUCUUGACAGAAGAGAACUUUCGGAUGAAUCAGUUUGAAGCAGAACUGGAGUUUAUUAAGAAGAGCUAUUUUCAAAAUUUCAUCUCUCAUUGACCCUGGCAUUCACCAGUCAACAAGGCUAGCUAGCCAAUAAGCUGUAUGGACCUACUUGUCUGUGCAUCCUGCUGGUCCUGGAGUUACAGGCAGACCUGGUUGUUCCAGAACUCGCCAUAUAGACCAGUCUGGCUUCUAACUCUGAGAUCCGCCUGCCUCUGCCUCCCAAGUGCUGGCUGGGAUUAAGGGAAUAUGCCAACUAUGUUUAGCAGGGACAGAGAGCUCUCAACUGAAUACUGUCAGAGGGACAACUGGUGAGAAAUGACCAACAAAAGUCACCUCUUCCAAGACAAUCUGCUCCUCACAGAAAGAACCAAGUGUCCUGGGAGAACACGGUCUGAGCCGGGGAAUGGUAAACAUGUCAGGAUUAGUCAGGCUUGCCCUGCUUCCUAGCACGUGAAAGCCUGCUGCUGUCAGACACGACCUUGGCUCAGUUGCUCCUUGCUAACAGUAGGAUUCUUCCUCUUCCUAUAUAUAUAUAUGCAGAGACUGCAGGGCAGAUGGUCCAAAGUUAGCGCAUAGCAGAAACAGGGUUCACACACUGUGGUAGCCAUGGGGAUGGGGAGGGCUGGCGUUGAACAGGACUGGAGAGCGGUUAGGAGACUGUGGCGACUGCAGCGCAGGCUCAGGGGUAGCAGGAUCACCACUUGCCUCCGAGCUUUGCUACACAAGUGUGCUCUGCAGAACUGCAGCCUGGGUGUCACCUUCAGAGCCUCUCCCAGACUACUGUAAAAGAACUCAGCCAGGUGUAGUGGCACACACCCUUGAUCCCAGCACUCAGGGAGGCAGAGGCAGGCAGAUCUCUGAGUUUGAGGCCAGCCUGGACUACCAAGAGAGUCCAGGACAGCCAAGGCUACACAGAGAAAUCCUGUCUAGAAAAAAAACAAAAACAGGAGACUCUCACGACUCUAAAGUACAUUAAAGUCUGGCAAGUGUUGAUAGAA